rnacentral:lncRNA from 1 species
CGCUCAGAAAAAUGAAGCCGACCCGGCCCUGCCCCGAGGGACGCUCCAAGAGGGCGGAGGUGCAGGGAGGGCCCCGCCACAAUUCGCGGUAACGCAAGCCAGGCUCGGGCGGAAGGGCGGCCGGAGCCGAUCAAAGGCUGGCUCCGGGCAGGGGCAGCGAGGGAGCGAGGGGGAGCUCUCCGCAGGCCGGUGUCCCGGAGGAGGCAUAAUUGGAGCAGGGCUUCCAAGGUCACGGAGAGACGCCGGGCAAGACCUCUUAAGGAUCCUCUUCCGGGCUUGAAAGGCAGGCGUCCUCCCGAACCGCGCGACCCAGCCAAGAAGAGCCGGGGCGGGGCCGGGGCCGGGGCCGGGGGCCGACUCGGGAAUCUUCGGCCGAGGCUCGGCAAUCCCCCCAUCCUCCGUCCGGGGCCUCCAGCCCGGGGCCGAUCCGGAAACAGCCGAGCGGAUCCGGAAACAGCCGAGAGGACCCGGAAGCGGUGCGCUCCGUCACCAGGGAGUGCGGGAAUCCGCCGUUUGCGCUGAGGCAAUGGCGGCAGCUGCGCCGGUGGCCGCGGACGACGAUGAGCGGCGGCGGCGGCCGGGGGCUGCACUGGAGGACUCCCGGUCCCAGGAAGGGGCAAAUGGUGAGGCCGAGUCAGGUGAGCUCAGCCGGCUUCGGGCUGAGCUGGCAGGCGCCCUGGCAGAAAUGGAAACCAUGAAGGCUGUGGCAGAGGUGAGCGAGAGCACGAAGGCCGAGGCUGUGGCUGCGGUGCAGCGGCAGUGCCAAGAGGAGGUGGCCUCGCUGCAGGCCAUCCUGAAAGACUCCAUCAGCAGCUAUGAAGCCCAGAUCACCGCCCUGAAGCAGGAGCGACAGCAGCAGCAGCAGGACUGUGAGGAGAAGGAGCGGGAGCUGGGCCGCCUGAAGCAGCUGCUGUCCCGGGCCUACCCCCUGGACUCCCUGGAGAAGCAGAUGGAAAAGGCCCACGAGGACUCGGAGAAGCUGCGGGAGAUCGUACUGCCCAUGG